rnacentral:rRNA from 1 species
UUGACGGGCCCCGCACAAGCAGCGGAGCGUGUGGUUUAAUUCGAUGCUACACGAAGAACCUUACCUGGGUUUGACAUGUACGUAGUAGUGAACCGAAAGGGGAACGAGCCUUCGGGCAGCGUACACAGGUGCUGCAUGGCUGUCGUCAGCUCGUGCCGUGAGGUGUUGGGUUAAGUCCCGCAACGAGCGCAACCCUCAUCGCUAGUUACAUGUGUCUAGCGAGACUGCCAGGUUAACCCUGGAGGAAGGUGGGAUGACGUCAAGUCAGCAUGGCCUUUAUGCCCAGGGCUACACACACGCUACAAUGGUCGGUACAAUGGGAUGCCAAGCCGUGAGGCGGAGCAAAUCCUCAAAGCCGGCCUCAGUUCGAAUUGGAGGCUGCAACUCGCCUCCAUGAAGUCGGAGUUGCUAGUAACCGCAGGUCAGCUAUACUGCGGUGAAUACGUUCCCGGGGCUU